CAGGUGGUCAGGUAGAGAAUACCAAGGCGCUUGAGAGAACUCGGGUGAAGGAACUAGGCAAAAUGGUGCCGUAACUUCGGGAGAAGGCACGCUGACACGUAGGUGAAGUGAUUUACUCAUGGAGCUGAAGUCAGUCGAAGAUACCAGCUGGCUGCAACUGUUUAUUAAAAACACAGCACUGUGCAAACACGAAAGUGGACGUAUACGGUGUGACGCCUGCCCGGUGCCGGAA
rnacentral:rRNA from 7 species